rnacentral:tRNA from 1 species
GUCAGGGUGGCUGAGUGGUCUAAGGUACCAGAURCAAGGUUCAAGUCUUUCCMUUGAAGUGGGACUUCUGGUCUCCACAUGGAGACAUGGGUUCAAAUCCCAUCUCUGACA